GCCUCUAUGGCUCAGUGGUAGAGCGUGUCACUAGUAAUGACAAGGUCCCAGGUUCGAUCCCUGGUGGAGGCA
rfam:Nectria haematococca mpVI 77-13-4 chromosome 7 genomic scaffold NECHAsca_9_chr7_10_0, whole genome shotgun sequence.